GUGCUCACUUCAGCAGCACAUAUGCUAAGAUUGGAACAAUGCAGAGAAGAUUAGCAUGCCCCUGCACAAAGAUGAUAUGCACAUUCAUGAAGCAUUAUAAAAUAAU